AAAUCUCAACCUCCUUGGUUUCUUUUGGAGACCAAAGGAGGCUUGGACUUUGGAGGCGUUUGCUGGGACCUUCAAAGGCCAGCUCCUCUUAAAUGUAUUAGCGGGGUCCUCUUUGCCGGUCCUUGACAUGUGAUAAGAUGCUUCCGUGUCUCGGUUCCUGGCUCUGUUAACUUUGGGACCCGCUUCUAAACCGUCUAGACCCAGGUCGAGACAAUGUUCGAGGAAACCUCCUCGACCCCACGAAC
rnacentral:misc_RNA from 1 species